rnacentral:rRNA from 1 species
UACGAAGGGUGCGAGCGUUAUUCGGAAUUAUUGGGCGUAAAGGGUGUGUAGACGGUGUAUUAAGUCUGUUGUUAAAUGCUCUAGCCUAACUGGAGACUUGCGGUGGAAACUGAUACGCUAGAGGGUGGGAAAGAGAAGUGGAAUUCUCGGAGUAGCGGUAAAAUGCGUAGAUCUCGAGAGGAACACCAAUGGCGAAGGCAGCUUCUUGGUCCAUACCUGACGUUGAAACACGAAAGCGUGGGGAGCAAACAGG